CACGGUGGAUGCCCUGGCAGUCAGAGGCGAUGAAGGACGUGCUAAUCUGCGAUAAGCGUCGGUAAGGUGAUAUGAACCGUUAUAACCGGCGAUUUCCGAAUGGGGAAACCCAGUGUGUUUCGACACACUAUCAUUAACUGAAUCCAUAGGUUAAUGAGGCGAACCGGGGGAACUGAAACAUCUAAGUACCCCGAGGAAAAGAAAUCAACCGAGAUUCCCCCAGUAGCGGCGAGCGAACGGGGAGCAGCCCAGAGCCUGAAUCAGUGUGUGUGUUAGUGGAAGCGUCUGGAAAGGCGCGCGAUACAGGGUGACAGCCCCGUACACAAAAAUGCACAUGCUGUGAGCUCGAUGAGUAGGGCGGGACACGUGGUAUCCUGUCUGAAUAUGGGGGGACCAUCCUCCAAGGCUAAAUACUCCUGACUGACCGAUAGUGAACCAGUACCGUGAGGGAAAGGCGAAAAGAACCCCGGCGAGGGGAGUGAAAAAGAACCUGAAACCGUGUACGUACAAGCAGUGGGAGCACGCUUAGGCGUGUGACUGCGUACCUUUUGUAUAAUGGGUCAGCGACUUAUAUUCUGUAGCAAGGUUAACCGAAUAGGGGAGCCGAAGGGAAACCGAGUCUUAACUGGGCGUUAAGUUGCAGGGUAUAGACCCGAAACCCGGUGAUCUAGCCAUGGGCAGGUUGAAGGUUGGGUAACACUAACUGGAGGACCGAACCGACUAAUGUUGAAAAAUUAGCGGAUGACUUGUGGCUGGGGGUGAAAGGCCAAUCAAACCGGGAGAUAGCUGGUUCUCCCCGAAAGCUAUUUAGGUAGCGCCUCGUGAAUUCAUCUCCGGGGGUAGAGCACUGUUUCGGCAAGGGGGUCAUCCCGACUUACCAACCCGAUGCAAACUGCGAAUACCGGAGAAUGUUAUCACGGGAGACACACGGCGGGUGCUAACGUCCGUCGUGAAGAGGGAAACAACCCAGACCGCCAGCUAAGGUCCCAAAGUCAUGGUUAAGUGGGAAACGAUGUGGGAAGGCCCAGACAGCCAGGAUGUUGGCUUAGAAGCAGCCAUCAUUUAAAGAAAGCGUAAUAGCUCACUGGUCGAGUCGGCCUGCGCGGAAGAUGUAACGGGGCUAAACCAUGCACCGAAGCUGCGGCAGCGACGCUUAUGCGUUGUUGGGUAGGGGAGCGUUCUGUAAGCCUGUGAAGGUGUGCUGUGAGGCAUGCUGGAGGUAUCAGAAGUGCGAAUGCUGACAUAAGUAACGAUAAAGCGGGUGAAAAGCCCGCUCGCCGGAAGACCAAGGGUUCCUGUCCAACGUUAAUCGGGGCAGGGUGAGUCGACCCCUAAGGCGAGGCCGAAAGGCGUAGUCGAUGGGAAACAGGUUAAUAUUCCUGUACUUGGUGUUACUGCGAAGGGGGGACGGAGAAGGCUAUGUUGGCCGGGCGACGGUUGUCCCGGUUUAAGCGUGUAGGCUGGUUUUCCAGGCAAAUCCGGAAAAUCAAGGCUGAGGCGUGAUGACGAGGCACUACGGUGCUGAAGCAACAAAUGCCCUGCUUCCAGGAAAAGCCUCUAAGCAUCAGGUAACAUCAAAUCGUACCCCAAACCGACACAGGUGGUCAGGUAGAGAAUACCAAGGCGCUUGAGAGAACUCGGGUGAAGGAACUAGGCAAAAUGGUGCCGUAACUUCGGGAGAAGGCACGCUGAUAUGUAGGUGAAGUCCCUCGCGGAUGGAGCUGAAAUCAGUCGAAGAUACCAGCUGGCUGCAACUGUUUAUUAAAAACACAGCACUGUGCAAACACGAAAGUGGACGUAUACGGUGUGACGCCUGCCCGGUGCCGGAAGGUUAAUUGAUGGGGUCAGCGCAAGCGAAGCUCUUGAUCGAAGCCCCGGUAAACGGCGGCCGUAACUAUAACGGUCCUAAGGUAGCGAAAUUCCUUGUCGGGUAAGUUCCGACCUGCACGAAUGGCGUAAUGAUGGCCAGGCUGUCUCCACCCGAGACUCAGUGAAAUUGAACUCGCUGUGAAGAUGCAGUGUACCCGCGGCAAGACGGAAAGACCCCGUGAACCUUUACUAUAGCUUGACACUGAACAUUGAGCCUUGAUGUGUAGGAUAGGUGGGAGGCUUAGAAGUGUGGACGCCAGUCUGCAUGGAGCCGACCUUGAAAUACCACCCUUUAAUGUUUGAUGUUCUAACGUUGACCCGUAAUCCGGGUUGCGGACAGUGUCUGGUGGGUAGUUUGACUGGGGCGGUCUCCUCCUAAAGAGUAACGGAGGAGCACGAAGGUUGGCUAAUCCUGGUCGGACAUCAGGAGGUUAGUGCAAUGGCAUAAGCCAGCUUGACUGCGAGCGUGACGGCGCGAGCAGGUGCGAAAGCAGGUCAUAGUGAUCCGGUGGUUCUGAAUGGAAGGGCCAUCGCUCAACGGAUAAAAGGUACUCCGGGGAUAACAGGCUGAUACCGCCCAAGAGUUCAUAUCGACGGCGGUGUUUGGCACCUCGAUGUCGGCUCAUCACAUCCUGGGGCUGAAGUAGGUCCCAAGGGUAUGGCUGUUCGCCAUUUAAAGUGGUACGCGAGCUGGGUUUAGAACGUCGUGAGACAGUUCGGUCCCUAUCUGCCGUGGGCGCUGGAGAACUGAGGGGGGCUGCUCCUAGUACGAGAGGACCGGAGUGGACGCAUCACUGGUGUUCGGGUUGUCAUGCCAAUGGCACUGCCCGGUAGCUAAAUGCGGAAGAGAUAAGUGCUGAAAGCAUCUAAGCACGAAACUUGCCCCGAGAUGAGUUCUCCCUGACCCUUUAAGGGUCCUGAAGGAACGUUGAAGACGACGACGUUGAUAGGCCGGGUGUGUAAGCGCAGCGAUGCGUUGAGCUAACCGGUACUAAUGAACCGUGAGGCUUAACCUU
rnacentral:rRNA from 1 species